UACGUAGGGGGCAAGCGUUGUCCGGAUUUAUUGGGCGUAAAGAGCGUGUAGGCGGCUAGGUAGGUCCGUUGUGAAAACUCGAGGCUCAACCUCGAGACGUCGAUGGAAACCAUCUAGCUAGAGUCCGGAAGAGGAGAGUGGAAUUCCUGGUGUAGCGGUGAAAUGCGUAGAGAUGUGGAGGAACACCAGUGGCGAAGGCGACUCUUUGGCCUGUAACUGACGCUGAGGCGCGAAAGCGUGGGGAGCAAACAGG
rnacentral:rRNA from 1 species